CCUACGGGCGGCAGCAGUGGGGAAUAUUGCACAAUGGGGGAAACCCUGAUGCAGCGACGCCGCGUGAGUGAAGAAGUAUUUCGGUAUGUAAAGCUCUAUCAGCAGGGAAGAAAAUGACGGUACCUGACUAAGAAGCCCCGGCUCACUACGUGCCAGCAGCCGCGGUAAUUCGUAGGGGGCAAGCGUUAUCCGGAUUUACUGGGUGUAAAGGGAGCGUAGACGGCCAGACAAGUCAGAAGUGAAAGCCCAGGACUCAACCCUGGGACUGCUGUUGAAACUGCCGGGCUGGAGUGCAGGAGAGGUAAGCGGAAUGCCUGGUGUAGCGGUGAAAUGCGUAGAUAUUAGGAGGAACACCAGUGGCGAAGGCGGCUUACUGGACUGUAACUGACGUUGAGGCUCGAAAGCGUGGGGAGCAAACAGGAUUAGAUACCCUAGUAGUC
rnacentral:rRNA from 1 species